rnacentral:rRNA from 1 species
AGAGUUUGAUCCUGGCUCAGGAUGAACGCUAACUACAGGCUUAACACAUGCAAGUCGAGGGGCAGCAUGGCGUCUAGCAAUAGAUGCUGAUGGCGACCGGCGCACGGGUGAGUAACACGUAUCCAACCUGGCCCAUACUAGGGAAUAGCCUGCCGAAAGGCAGAUUAAUGCCCUAUGUUGUGUAUUGAUGGCAUCAGAUUUACACCAAAGAUUCAUCGGUAUGGGAUGGGGAUGCGUCCGAUUAGCUUGACGGCGGGGUAACGGCCCACCGUGGCUACGAUCGGUAGGGGUUCUGAGAGGAAGGUCCCCCACACUGGAACUGAGACACGGUCCAGACUCCUACGGGAGGCAGCAGUGAGGAAUAUUGGUCAAUGGGCGUAAGCCUGAACCAGCCAAGUAGCGUGAGGGAAGACUGCCCUAUGGGUUGUAAACCUCUUUUAUAAGGGAAUAACUGACGAUACGUGUAUUGUUUUGCAUGUACCUUAUGAAUAAUGACCGGCUAAUUCCGUGCCAGCAGCCGCGGUAAUACGGAAGGUCAGGGCGUUAUCCGGAUUUAUUGGGUUUAAAGGGAGCGUAGGCGGUUGGUUAAGCGUGUUGUGAAAUGUCCCGGCCCAACCGGGGAUGUGCAACGCGAACUGGCUGACUUGAGUGCGUACGAGGUAUGCGGAAUUCGUCGUGUAGCGGUGAAAUGCUUAGAUAUGACGAAGAACUCCGAUUGCGAAGGCAGCAUGCCAGGCCGCUACUGACGCUGAAGCUCGAAGGUGCGGGUAUCGAACAGGAUUAGAUACCCUGGUAGUCCGCACGGUAAACGAAGGGAUGCCCGCUGUUUGCGAUAUACUGUGAGCGGCCAAGCGAAAGCGUUAAGCAUCCCACCUGGGGAGUACGCCGGCAACGGUGAAACUCAAAGGAAUUGACGGGGGCCCGCACAAGCGGAGGAACAUGUGGUUUAAUUCGAUGAUACGCGAGGAACCUUACCCGGGCUUGAAUUGCAGAGGAACAAUCCAGAGAUGGUGCGGCCCUUCGGGGCCUCUGUGAAGGUGCUGCAUGGUUGUCGUCAGCUCGUGCCGUGAGGUGUCGGCUUAAGUGCCAUAACGAGCGCAACCCCUGUUGCCAGUUGCCAUCCUUUAGUUGGGCACUCUGGCGAGACUGCCACCGUAAGGUGUGAGGAAGGUGGGGAUGACGUCAAAUCAGCACGGCCCUUACGUCCGGGGCUACACACGUGUUACAAUGGGUGAUACAGAGAGUCGUGCAUGCGCAAGUAUGUUCCAAUCUUUAAAGUCAUCCUCAGUUCGGACUGGGGUCUGCAACCCGACCCCACGAAGCUGGAUUCGCUAGUAAUCGCGCAUCAGCCAUGGCGCGGUGAAUACGUUCCCGGGCCUUGCACACACCGCCCGUCAAG